rnacentral:rRNA from 1 species
GAAUUCACUAGUGAUUUUCCGGUUGAUCCUGCCGGAGGUCACUGCUAUCGGGGUUCGAUUAAGCCAUGCGAGUUGAGAGGGUUUAGACCCUCGGCGGACUGCUCAGUAACACGUGGAUAACCUGCCCUAAGGUGGAGGAUAACCCCGGGAAACUGGGGAUAAUACUCCAUAGACCAGAGUGACUGGAAUGUUUUCUGGUCGAAAGUUCCGGCGCCUUAGGAUGGAUCUGCGGCCGAUUAGGUAGUUGUUGGGGUAAACGGCCCAGACAAGCCAAGUCAUCGGGUACGGACUGUGUGAGCUAGCAACAGCCCGGAGGAAGGAAUCUGAGACACGAUUCCAGGCCCUACGGGGCUCAGCAGGCGCGAAAACUUUACAAUGCAGGAAACUGUGAUAAGGGAACCCCGAGUGCUCGUACACGCGAGCUGUCCAGGUGUGAAAAAAAGCAUCUGAAGAAAGGGCCGGGCAAGACCGGUGCCAGCCGCCGCGGUAAUACCGGCGGCUCGAGUGGUGGCCACUAUUAUUGGGCUUAAAGCGUUCGUAGCUGGACUCUUAAGUCUCCUGGGAAAUCCGCCGGCUCAACCGGCGGGCGUCCAGGAGAUACUGCGGAGUCUUGGAACCGGAAGAGGUAAGAGUACUUCGGGGGUAGGAGUGAAUCCUGUAUCC